GUCCGUGCCAUAGCAAUAUUGCACAAGCAUAUUUGAGUUGUGGAAAGAAGAAACCCUCUGGUGGCCUUGGCCCGGGAAUAUGGCGGUUUCAAGUGCAAUGCUGUACUGAAAUGGUACCAGAAGAAGACAGAAGGUUACAUGUCUCCCUCUGAUGCCGAGCCAAAGCUGGACCCUCUGCCUCUCUUUCCACAGUCUCCCUCUGAUGCCGAGCCAAAGCUGGACUGUACUGCUGCCAUCUCAGCUCACUGCAACCUCCCUGCCAGAUUCUCCUGCCUCAGCCUGCCGAGUGCCUGCGAUUGCAGGCGCGCGCCGCCACGCCUGACUGGUUUUCGUAU
rnacentral:lncRNA from 1 species